AUGACCCAAUUGUGUGUAUAUUCAAUUAGGAUUUUAAAGGAGAGUAUAACAUUUUAGGUGUAUUCAAUUAGAAAUUGAUUUUAAAAGAUUUUAAAGAUGGGGAAUUCAAGGGAGUUUGAGAGAUUUCGUAAUGUAUUUUAUGCAUUCUCAAAUCUUACCUCUCUCCUUGAAAAUUUGAAGAAAUUCACACAAAAUAUGACAUAAAUUUAUUAAAUUCUAUCAAAAUUCAUGAAUUUAUAAAUCAUUAAAAUCUUUAAAGAUCUCAAUUGAAUACACCCCCGCAUAAGCUAAAAAAGAAAGAAUUGAUGCUUCCCCGGAUCUUAUAAAAGCAUUUCAAUCAUGCUCUAGUUUAUGUUAAUUUUCCGCUAAAAUGACAUUUGGAACUCCUUGCAAAACUAUUCCAACCAUAUUUUGUAGUUUGCAGAUUUAUAAUGAUUGAAAGCCAAUAAAAAUAAGACGUAUCAAAAUGUGAGCAUUCAUCAUAAAAAUCAUUUGUCAAUAGAAGGGAGAAUCCUACGAUUAAUUAUUCAAGAUGCUUCUCUUGGAUGCCACUUGGAUCCUCACCAAUGACAUGACUUGAUAAUAAUACAACAUUAUAUCAUCUUGCAUUUUAAGUUGUCCCAACAACGAAAUAGACUUUCGAUGAUUGCUCCAGUGGUUAAAGUAUGUCUCUUCAACCGAAUGAGGAUCCUCUAUGGAUCCUCUUUGUGAGGAUUCAGAGUAUUCUUUAAUCUUAUCCGUUUAUCAUAAAUUGUGCUGUCAGUUUUCGUCAGGUAUUAUUUGUGUUCAAUUGUAAAUAAAAAUUUUAAAAUAAUUUUUUACCGCACGAUAUACGAUGAGUGAAUACUAUUAAUGAAUUUCCGGGAUCCUCACAAAGAGGAUCCGGAGAGAAUUACGUUCCGAAUUCAAAUUUUCUAUCAAUAGACUUUCGGGUUUCGACCCACUAAAUGA
rnacentral:sRNA from 1 species